rnacentral:pre_miRNA from 1 species
AUGCGGAUCACCUGGGGAACUUGUUAAAAUGCAAAUUCUGAUUCAGUGGGUCUAGGGUCUGCAUUUCAAACAAGCUCCCAGGUGAUUCUGAU